rnacentral:rRNA from 1 species
AUGGAUUCGGCGGCCUCUACAAAUCGCUCCCCGCUGCGCCCCGCCGCCGCCGCCACCGCGCGCCGAAGCAGCAGCUCCGUCCGCCCCGCGCUUCCUAACCGUGUGGCAGCGAGCAGGCUUGGGGUCGCGCCCGGGUGCGGAGGAGGGCAAUUCGGAAAGGCACAGCGAUUUAGGUCCGUGCGGAGUACCUCGGUGGGAGCUCAGACUGGUAAUGCUGGGAGAAUUGUGACCGAGGAAAGGGAAAGCGCAACGGCGGGUACCGAAAUGCCCUUGAAAUAUUCUUCCGGCAAAGCAUCCCCUCUAGGAGUGUCGCAGGUUGAAAGUGGUCUCAACUUUGCGAUUUUCUCUCAAAAUGCUUCUUCUGUCACCCUCUGCAUCAAGCUUCCUGAGAGAGGAACCAAGGAUGAAGAAAGUGAAAAAGUUGUGGAGUUUGCUUUAGAUUGCCAGAAGAACAAAACUGGAGAUAUAUGGCAUGUGUCGGUGGAGGGGUUGCCCACUUCUGGAGUUCUUUACGGAUAUCGUGUUAAUGGUCCUCAAGGAUGGGAACAAGGCCAUAGGUUUGAUAGCAACAUUAUUCUUCUUGACCCUUACGCGAAACUAGUUUCUGGUCGAAAUUACUUUGGGGUUGAUAACGGGAAGCCCAGCCAGCCUUUUGGAACAUAUGAUUUUGAUAGCUCUCCUUUUGACUGGGGUGCUGAUUACCAGCUUCCACAUUUGCCUGAGACAGAUCUAGUUAUAUAUGAAAUGAACGUUCGCGCUUUCACUGCGGAUGAGUCAAGUGGGCUUGAUGCAGCUGUUCGCGGAAGCUACCUAGGAUUCAUCGACAAAAUCCCGCAUUUGCUUGAACUCGGAGUUAAUGCAGUGGAGUUGCUACCUGUUUUUGAGUUUGAUGAGCUGGAGUUGAAGAGGUACCCUAACCCAAGGGACCACAUGGUCAAUACAUGGGGUUAUUCUACAAUCAAUUUUUUUGCUCCCAUGACCCGCUAUGCAAGUGCUGGUGGUGGACCAUUGGCUGCUUCCAGAGAGCUCAAGCAGAUGGUCAAGGCAUUGCAUAAAGCUGGUAUAGAGGUUAUUCUGGAUGUCGUUUACAACCAUACAAAUGAAGCAGAUGACGCUAAUCCUUAUGUUACUUCUUUUCGUGGCAUCGACAACAAGGUUUAUUACAUGUUAGAUCCGAAGAACAACUCUCAACUGCUGAACUUCUCGGGAUGCGGGAAUACACUAAACUGCAACCAUCCUGUGGUCAUGGAACUCGUACUCGACAGCUUGAGACAUUGGGUUACGGAGUAUCACAUAGAUGGAUUUCGGUUUGACCUUGCAAGUGUCCUUUGCCGUGGACCAGAUGGCAGUCCUCUUGAUGCUCCUCCACUCAUCAGGGAAAUUGCCAAAGAUUCUGUGUUAUCUCGAUGCAAGAUAAUUGCUGAACCUUGGGAUUGUGGAGGUCUUUAUCUAGUAGGGCGUUUCCCUAAUUGGGACAGGUGGGCUGAAUGGAAUGGAAAGUACAGAGACGAUCUUCGAAGGUUCAUCAAGGGUGACCCUGGUAUGAAGGGGGUGUUGGCAACUCGUGUGUCUGGAUCUGCUGAUCUCUACCAGGUGAACCAGCGGAAGCCUCAUCAUGGUGUGAACUUUAUAAUAGCACAUGAUGGGUUCACCUUAUGUGACCUUGUUUCAUACAACUUAAAGCACAACGACGCUAAUGGAGAAGGUGGACGUGAUGGAUGCAAUGAUAAUUUUAGCUGGAACUGUGGUGUUGAAGGAGAAACAAAUGAUUCAAAUGUAUUGGCUCUGCGUUCGAGACAAAUGAAGAACUUCCAUGUGGCAUUAAUGAUUUCUCAAGGCACCCCGAUGAUGUUGAUGGGAGAUGAAUAUGGUCAUACACGUUAUGGAAACAAUAAUAGCUAUGGACAUGAUACCUGCAUAAAUAAUUUCCAGUGGGGACAGUUGGCGGAAAGAAGAUAUGGCCAUUUCAGGUUUUUCUCAGAGAUGAUUAAGUUUCGUCAGAACCACCCAAUACUGAAACGGGACAGGUUUCUCAGUAAAAAUGAUGUCACUUGGCACGAGGAUUGUUGGGAUAACCUGGAAAGCAAAUUCUUGGCAUUCACGAUACACGACCAUAAUUCUGGUGGAGAUAUCUAUUUGGCAUUCAAUGCCCAUGACUAUUCUGUGGAUGCUGUGAUUCCCCCAGCCCCUCAACAUAAACACUGGAACCGUGUGGUGGAUACCAACCUGGAAUCACCAAACGAUAUUGCACCGGAAGGGGUGCCACUUACUGGAUCAGGGUAUAGAAUUGCUCCAUUCUCUUCCAUCUUGCUCAAGGCAAGCCCAUAG